rnacentral:misc_RNA from 1 species
AAAGUCGUAACAAGGUUUCCGUAGGUGAACCUGCGGAAGGAUCAUUAAAGAGAUAGGGUCUUCAUGGCCCGACCUCCAACCCUCUGUUGUUAAAACUACCUUGUUGCUUUGGCGGGACCGUUUCGGUCUCCGAGCGCACUAACCCUCGGGUUGGUGAGCGCCCGCCAGAGUCCAACCAAACUCUUGUAUUAAACCAGUCGUCUGAGUAUAAAAUUUUAAUUAAAUUAAAACUUUCAACAACGGAUCUCUUGGUUCUC